rnacentral:rRNA from 1 species
CCCUUAGACGUUCUGGGCCGCACGCGCGCUACACUGACGGAGCCAGCGAGUAUAAACCUUGGCCGAGAGGUCUGGGAAAUCUUGUGAAACUCCGUCGUGCUGGGGAUAGAGCAUUGUAAUUAUUGCUCUUCAACGAGGAAUUCCUAGUAAGCGCAAGGCAUCAGCUUGCGUUGAUUACGUCCCUGCCCUUUGUACACACCGCCCGUCGCUACUACCGAUUGAAUGGCUUAGUGAGGCUUCCGGAUUGGUUUAGAGAAGGGGGCAACUCCAUCUUGGAACCGAGAAGCUAGUCAAACUUGGUCAUUUAGAGGAAGUAAAAGUCGUAACA